rnacentral:misc_RNA from 1 species
UUGAAAACAUUGUAAAGAAAAGUUGAGCUGGCUCUUCACGGGCAAGUGCUUGCUUUUCUUUCAAUCUUCAUCCACCUGUGCACAUUUUGUAGAGAGAUUUUUGAGAAAGGGGAAACCUCCCCAAAGUAUCAAGGACUCUCUAUGUCUUUACAAACUCAAUGUAUGUUUUUGAAUGUCUUGUAUAAGGGCCUUCAUUGACCCUUUUAAAAUAUAUA